rnacentral:lncRNA from 10 species
AAAACAUGGCCAUCCAGGAGGCAGACUGGGCAGCCAAAGCCUUCUUUUCUACCAAUUGCUGGUCCAAACCACAGGGCACAUAUCCAGGAAGGAUCACAAACGGGAAUCCAGGAAUGUGGGAAUGUGAAAUGAGAUGGGAAAUGAAACGUCUGCAUGCCCUCCCCCUGUGCACAUGAGCCCCUGAAAGGGCUGGGUCGCUCGCACCUUACAGAGCGGCUCUGGAUCCGGAGGACAGGACAUGUGAAUGAACAUCCGUAUGAACGAGAGGCAAGCACAUCAGUGAAGAAUGGAGGAACUGAUGCAACAUGAAACUGUGCAUAAGUGAACAAAUGAACACCCUAAAGGCAAGUUUCAUAUUCUUCACAACUUCGGUUUACUAGAUAGGCCUACAGUGGGUUCCUACUCCCACAGCUCAGCUAGGGAAAGCUUCUAGUUGGAUUCGUUCGGUUUUCCUGCUUUUUCUCCCCUCGUAUACUUUUAAUGAUGUAUAGUAAACAUACAGGAAAGUGCACAAAGUUUAAAUGUACAGCUUGAUACAUUUUCAUAUCUGUUUAGCACCGAGAUCAAGAAACAGAGCCUUCCAGCACCCAGGGGCCUCCCACAGUGCCCCAUCCAAUCACUAUCCCUACCUCCUGAAAACCAUUAUUGUGGCUUCUAGCACCAUUGGUGAGCUUUGCCUGGUUUUGAAUUCUGCGUAAAUGGAAUCAUACAGUAUGUCCUCUUUUGAGUCUGAUUUCUUACUCACAACACUGUGUGUGAGAUUUGCUCACGUCGUUGUGUAUAGCUGUGGCUCGUUCACUCUUAUAUGUGAACAGUAUUCCACUGGAUCACUACACCCAAAAUUUAUGUCUCUAUUCUAUGGCUGAUGGGCAUUUUCACUGCUUCAAGUUUGGGGCUAUUAUGAAUAAUGCUGCUAUGAACAUUCUUGUAUAUAUAUUCGGGCAAGCAUAUACAUACAUCUUUCCCAAUAUUUCAUAUUAAGUUUUUUAACAUACAGCAAAUUUGAAGGAAUUUUACAGUGAGCACCCAUAAACUCACCAUCUCAAAUCCAUUACUAACAUGUUCCCAUACUUGCUUUGUCACAUAUCUGCCCAUUCCUUAUUCAUCUAUCUUCUUUUUUGGGUGCAUUUUAAACUACAUAUAUCAUUAUUACUAUUAUUAUUAUUAUUUUGAGACAGGCUCUUGUUCUUUUGCCCAGGCUGGAGUACAGUGGGGUGAUCACGGCUCACUGCAGCCUUGACCUCCUGGGCUCAAGCGAUCCUCCUGCCUCAGCCUCCCAAGCAGUUGGUACCACCAGCGUGCACCACCACGCCCAGCUAAAAUUUUUACAUUUCUUUUUGUAGAGACUGGGUCCCACUAUGUUGCUAGGCUGGUCUUGAACUCCUGGGCUCAAGCAAUCCUCCUGCCUCAGCUUCCCUAAGUGCUGGGAUCAUAAGUGUGAGCCACCAUGCUUGGCCUAAACUGCAGAUACUAUUUCAUUUCCCCGUAAACACUGCAGCAUGCUGCAUGUUUUAACUACAGUUUUUAUUUACAGUUUUCUCUUUUAAUGUAAAAUUCACACGUGCAUUUCCUAUUACUACAUACAUACCUAGAAGAGGAGCUGCCGGGCACAGGGUACGCAUACGUUUGACAUUAGUGGAUACUGCUAAACAGCUUUUCAAAGUGGUUGUGUCUGUUUGCUAGUUUGUAGGUAUUAGUGGAUCCCCCCUUUUUAUUUUGGUGACUCCACAGCUCAAACUUUGCACAAAGUCAUGAGAAGUCUGUUGUAAGAAUCUUAGAAAUCCACUCCCUUUACUGCCCUGGACAGAUGUCUAUCCAAGCACUAGUCAUGUCUCUAAUGGAGUCUCUGGUUUAUCAUCCGUCGUCUUAGAAAGACUGCAAGCCCUUGGAGGAAGGACUUUUGAAUCCCCACCUCCAAGCGUGAUGCCGGGCAUGGAGCAGGCACUUAAGAAAAUUGUGCUGAAUGAAUGAGUGGGUGCUCUGGGGCAACCUGGCAUCUCCCAGUCUCUACAGGCCAGGGAAUAGAUGGCCAGGAUUGGUAUAAGAAGAUACAAUUAGUGCUGCCUUUAUAACCAAAGACCCAUCAUCACAGUCACUCAAGCAAAACAAAGCGCCUGUCAUGGAGGCUGCUUGGUUUCAAGGCUUAAUUUAGCCUCUUCCCUGAAUUAACUCGAGAUAACUCUGACUCAGGAGGAAGUGGAGGGGAAUAAUCAGGUCAGCUGUGUUUACUUUCCGAGGACUCUGAAGCAAACAAAGACCUAGAAGAGACCUUCUCCGACUCACAGAAGAGUUGCACCUCGGGUGUUUGUUUCCAAGUUGCUUAAGUCAUCAACUUGGAAACUUCAAUUCCCCUGUAGACAACACGUUGGGAGUGUGGCUUGAUUCCCAGGGGAGUUACUGAGGGCUUCCUUAAAUGGAGAAGUUAGAAUAUUGUUUUCUUUGGAAAAAGUUGUCUGGCCAGGGUCUGGAGGAUGAACAGUGAUGGAGGAGACUCAUAGAAUCCAGGAGAUUAGCCUAGAAACCAGAACAAUAACAGAGAUGGGAAAGGAAAACAGAAACAAUAAGCAACAAGUAUAAUAAUAACAGCACAUUUUAAAAUGGAUUAGAGAGUGUAACGGGAAUGUUUGCAACUCAGUGGAUAGAUGCUUGAGGGGAUGGAUACCCCAUUCUUCAUGAUGUGUUAUUUCACACUGUGUGCCUGUAUCAAAACAUCUCAAGUACCCCAUAAAUAUAUACACCCACUAUGUAGCCACAAAAAUUAAAACUUAAAAAAUAAAAUUUAAAAAAUUAAAAAUAAACAACAAGCAAAGGCUGGGGCCAGUCAAUGUCUGACAUAAAGCUUGCUAAAGGUUAUACAUUCAUUUAUCCACUCAAUCAUUUACUCAUUUCUUCCUGCCAGGGGCUGGGUGGAGGGGGAAGUGGGGAUUGGCUGAUAACAGUAAAGGCAUUUCUUUUUGGAGUAAC